rnacentral:rRNA from 1 species
AGAGUUUGAUCCUGGCUCAGGACGAACGCUGGCGGCGUGCUUAACACAUGCAAGUCGAACGGAAAGGCCUUCAGCUUGCUGGAGGUACUCGAGUGGCGAACGGGUGAGUAACACGUGGGUGAUCUGCCCUGCACUUCGGGAUAAGCCUGGGAAACUGGGUCUAAUACCGGAUAGGACCCUCCUUUAGUGUGGGGGGUGGAAAGUUUUUUCGGUGCAGGAUGAGCCCGCGGCCUAUCAGCUUGUUGGUGGGGUAAUGGCCUACCAAGGCGUCGACGGGUAGCCGGCCUGAGAGGGUGGACGGCCACAUUGGGACUGAGAUACGGCCCAGACUCCUACGGGAGGCAGCAGUGGGGAAUAUUGCACAAUGGGCGCAAGCCUGAUGCAGCGACGCCGCGUGGGGGAUGACGGCCUUCGGGUUGUAAACCUCUUUCGACAGGGACGAAGCUUUUUGUGACGGUACCUGUAUAAGAAGCACCGGCUAACUACGUGCCAGCAGCCGCGGUAAUACGUAGGGUGCGAGCGUUGUCCGGAAUUACUGGGCGUAAAGAGCUCGUAGGUGGUUUGUCGCGUCGUCUGUGAAAUUCCGGGGCUUAACUCCGGGCGUGCAGGCGAUACGGGCAAUACUUGAGUGCUGUAGGGGAGACUGGAAUUCCUGGUGUAGCGGUGAAAUGCGCAGAUAUCAGGAGGAACACCAAUGGCGAAGGCAGGUCUCUGGGCAGUAACUGACGCUGAGGAGCGAAAGCAUGGGUAGCGAACAGGAUUAGAUACCCUGGUAGUCCAUGCCGUAAACGGUGGGCGCUAGGUGUAGGGGUCUUCCACGACUUCUGUUCCGUAGCUAACGCAUUAAGCGGCCCCGCCUGGGGAGUACGGCCGCAAGGCUAAAACUCAAAGGAAUUUGACGGGGGCC